UACAGAGGUGGCAAGCGUUGUUCGGAAUUACUGGGCGUAAAGGGCGCGUAGGCGGUUCGUUAAGUCCUGUGUGAAAUCCCCCGGCUCAACUGGGGAACUGCACAGGAAACUAGCGGGCUUGAGUUCGGGAGAGGGAAGCGGAAUUCCGGGUGUAGCGGUGAAAUGCGUAGAUAUCCGGAGGAACACCGGCGGCGAAGGCGGCUUCCUGGACCGACACCGACGCUGAGGCGCGAAAGCUAGGGGAGCAAACGGG
rnacentral:rRNA from 1 species